GGUCCCAUGGUCUAGUGGUUAGGACAUUGGACUUUGAAUCCAAUAACCCAAGUUCAAAUCUUGGUGGAACCU